AUUUACGUAGUUUAUAAAAAACAAAUUAUUUUCAAUAAUUAAAAAAUUUAAUUUAAAUUUGUAAAUU
rnacentral:tRNA from 1 species